rnacentral:rRNA from 1 species
GACGAACGCUGGCGGCGUGCUUAACACAUGCAAGUCGAACGGAAAGGCCCUGCUUUUGUGGGGUGCUCGAGUGGCGAACGGGUGAGUAACACGUGAGUAACCUGCCCUUGACUUUGGGAUAACUUCAGGAAACUGGGGCUAAUACCGGAUAGGAGCUCCUGCUGCAUGGUGGGGGUUGGAAAGUUUCGGCGGUUGGGGAUGGACUCGCGGCUUAUCAGCUUGUUGGUGGGGUAGUGGCUUACCAAGGCUUUGACGGGUAGCCGGCCUGGGAGGGUGACCGGCCACAUUGGGACUGGGAUACGGCCCGGACUCCUACGGGAGGAAGCAGUGGGGAAUAUUGCACAAUGGGCGGAAGCCUGAUGGAGCAACGCCGCGUGCGGGAUGACGGCCUUCGGGUUGUAAACCGCUUUCGCCUGUGACGAAGCGUGAGUGACGGUACUGGGUAAAGAAGCACCGGCUAACUAGGU